GACGAACGCUGGCGGCGUGCUUAACACAUGCAAGUCGAACGGAAAGGCCUGUCCUUCCUUGUGUUGGACGGGUACUCGAGUGGCGAACGGGUGAGUAACACGUGAGUGAUCUGCCCCCAACUUGGGUAUAAGCCUGGGAAACUGGGUCUAAUUCCCGAUAGGACUGCAGGGUGGUGCCUGUGGUGGAAAACGAUUUUCUAGUGGUUGGGGAUGAGCUCGCGGCCUAUCAGCUUGUUGGUGGGGUAAUGGCCUACCAAGGCGGCGACGGGUAGCCGGCCUGAGAGGGUGGACGGCCACAUUGGGACUGAGAUAUGGCCCAGACUCCUACGGGAGGCAGCAGUGGGGAAUAUUGCACAAUGGGCGGAAGCCUGAUGCAGCGACGCCGCGUGGGGGAUGACGGCCUUCGGGUUGUAAACUCCUUUCGACCGCGAGGAAGCCGCCUGGUUGGAAGGGUGGUGACGGUAGUGGUAGAAGAAGCACCGGCUAACUACGUG
rnacentral:rRNA from 1 species